UGGGGAAUAUUGCACAAUGGGCGCAAGCCUGAUGCAGCCAUGCUGCGUGUAUGAAGAAGGCCUUCGGGUUGUAAAGUACUUUCAGCGAGGAGGAAGGCGUUGUGGUUAAUAACCGCAACGAUUGACGUUACUCGCAGAAGAAGCACCGGCUAACUCCGUGCCAGCAGCCGCGGUAAUACGGAGGGUGCAAGCGUUAAUCGGAAUUACUGGGCGUAAAGCGCACGCAGGCGGUCUGUCAAGUCGGAUGUGAAAUCCCCGGGCUCAACCUGGGAACUGCAUCCGAAACUGGCAGGCUAGAGUCUUGUAGAGGGGGGUAGAAUUCCAGGUGUAGCGGUGAAAUGCGUAGAGAUCUGGAGGAAUACCGGUGGCGAAGGCGGCCCCCUGGACAAAGACUGACGCUCAGGUGCGAAAGCGUGGGGAGCAAACA
rnacentral:rRNA from 1 species